UGAGGAAUAUUGGUCAAUGGACGGAAGUCUGAACCAGCCAUGCCGCGUGAAGGAUGAAGGCGUUCUGCGUUGUAAACUUCUUUUAUCUGGGAAGAAACCACAGAUUUCUAUUUGUGUUGACGGUACCAGAGGAAUAAGCACCGGCUAACUCCGUGCCAGCAGCCGUGGUAAUACGGAGGGUGCGAGCGUUAUCCGGAUUUACUGGGUUUAAAGGGUGCGUAGGCGGGCUAUUAAGUCAGAGGUGAAAUCUCCGGGCUCAACCUGGAAACUGCCUUUGAUACUAUUAGCCUUGAAUUGUGUUGAGGUUGGCGGAAUAUAACAUGGAGCGGUGAAAUGCUUAGAUAUGUUAUGGAACACCGAUUGCGAAGGCAGCUGGCUAAACAUAUAUUGA
rnacentral:rRNA from 1 species